UGCCUAACACAUGCAAGUCGAGCGAAAGAUAUAACGAUGGAGUCUUCGGAUGGAUAAUUGUAUCUUUAGCGGCGGACGGGUGCGUAACGCGUAGGUAAUCUGCCCUUAUCACUGGGAUAACACAUGGAAACGUGUGCUAACACCAGAUAAGAUAGUAGUAAGGCAUCUUACAGCUAUCAAAGGAAACGGAUGAGGAUGAGCCUGCGUCUGAUUAGCUAGUUGGUGGGGUAAAAGCCUACCAAGGCCACGAUCAGUAGCCGACCUGAGAGGGUGAUCGGCCACACUGGAACUGAGACACGGUCCAGACUCCUACGGGAGGCAGCAGUGGGGAAUAUUGCACAAUGGGCGCAAGCCUGAUGCAGCAACGCCGCGUGAGUGAAGAAGGUCUUCGGAUCGUAAAACUC
rnacentral:rRNA from 1 species